rnacentral:misc_RNA from 1 species
GUGAAUCAUCAAAUUUUUGAACGCAAAUUGCACUCUCUGGUAUUCCGGAGAGUAUGCCUGUUUGAGGGUCAGUUUAAAUAAAAAUCGGUGUGGUUUCUGCCUUUCGUGGUGACGCACCGGUUUUGGGUCGUCUGGCCUUCGGAUAUGUGAGCUAAUAUUUCGCAUGAUUUUGUCAAAUGUUUUUAACU